CACAGUUUUAAUGUUUAUGUCCUGCCUAUUAGCACUGAUUUUUUAAAUUUUAUUUUUAUGAUGGUUGUGUUAUUUGUACAUUGAAAUAGUUGAGGUAAACAUAAAACAUAAAACAUAAUGAUUUAAGAG